GGUUAAGCGACUAAGCGUACACGGUGGAUGCCCUGGCAGUCAGAGGCGAUGAAGGACGUGCUAAUCUGCGAUAAGCGUCGGUAAGGUGAUAUGAACCGUUAUAACCGGCGAUUUCCGAAUGGGGAAACCCAGUGUGUUUCGACACACUAUCAUUAACUGAAUCCAUAGGUUAAUGAGGCGAACCGGGGGAACUGAAACAUCUAAGUACCCCGAGGAAAAGAAAUCAACCGAGAUUCCCCCAGUAGCGGCGAGCGAACGGGGAGCAGCCCAGAGCCUGAAUCAGUGUGUGUGUUAGUGGAAGCGUCUGGAAAGGCGCGCGAUACAGGGUGACAGCCCCGUACACAAAAAUGCACAUGCUGUGAGCUCGAUGAGUAGGGCGGGACACGUGGUAUCCUGUCUGAAUAUGGGGGGACCAUCCUCCAAGGCUAAAUACUCCUGACUGACCGAUAGUGAACCAGUACCGUGAGGGAAAGGCGAAAAGAACCCCGGCGAGGGGAGUGAAAAAGAACCUGAAACCGUGUACGUACAAGCAGUGGGAGCACGCUUAGGCGUGUGACUGCGUACCUUUUGUAUAAUGGGUCAGCGACUUAUAUUCUGUAGCAAGGUUAACCGAAUAGGGGAGCCGAAGGGAAACCGAGUCUUAACUGGGCGUUAAGUUGCAGGGUAUAGACCCGAAACCCGGUGAUCUAGCCAUGGGCAGGUUGAAGGUUGGGUAACACUAACUGGAGGACCGAACCGACUAAUGUUGAAAAAUUAGCGGAUGACUUGUGGCUGGGGGUGAAAGGCCAAUCAAACCGGGAGAUAGCUGGUUCUCCCCGAAAGCUAUUUAGGUAGCGCCUCGUGAAUUCAUCUCCGGGGGUAGAGCACUGUUUCGGCAAGGGGGUCAUCCCGACUUACCAACCCGAUGCAAACUGCGAAUACCGGAGAAUGUUAUCACGGGAGACACACGGCGGGUGCUAACGUCCGUCGUGAAGAGGGAAACAACCCAGACCGCCAGCUAAGGUCCCAAAGUCAUGGUUAAGUGGGAAACGAUGUGGGAAGGCCCAGACAGCCAGGAUGUUGGCUUAGAAGCAGCCAUCAUUUAAAGAAAGCGUAAUAGCUCACUGGUCGAGUCGGCCUGCGCGGAAGAUGUAACGGGGCUAAACCAUGCACCGAAGCUGCGGCAGCGACGCUGAUGCGUUGUUGGGUAGGGGAGCGUUCUGUAAGCCUGCGAAGGUGUGCUGUGAGGCAUGCUGGAGGUAUCAGAAGUGCGAAUGCUGACAUAAGUAACGAUAAAGCGGGUGAAAAGCCCGCUCGCCGGAAGACCAAGGGUUCCUGUCCAACGUUAAUCGGGGCAGGGUGAGUCGACCCCUAAGGCGAGGCCGAAAGGCGUAGUCGAUGGGAAACAGGUUAAUAUUCCUGUACUUGGUGUUACUGCGAAGGGGGGACGGAGAAGGCUAUGUUGGCCGGGCGACGGUUGUCCCGGUUUAAGCGUGUAGGCUGGUUUUCCAGGCAAAUCCGGAAAAUCAAGGCUGAGGCGUGAUGACGAGGCACUACGGUGCUGAAGCAACAAAUGCCCUGCUUCCAGGAAAAGCCUCUAAGCAUCAGGUAACAUCAAAUCGUACCCCAAACCGACACAGGUGGUCAGGUAGAGAAUACCAAGGCGCUUGAGAGAACUCGGGUGAAGGAACUAGGCAAAAUGGUGCCGUAACUUCGGGAGAAGGCACGCUGAUAUGUAGGUGAGGUCCCUCGCGGAUGGAGCUGAAAUCAGUCGAAGAUACCAGCUGGCUGCAACUGUUUAUUAAAAACACAGCACUGUGCAAACACGAAAGUGGACGUAUACGGUGUGACGCCUGCCCGGUGCCGGAAGGUUAAUUGAUGGGGUUAGCGCAAGCGAAGCUCUUGAUCGAAGCCCCGGUAAACGGCGGCCGUAACUAUAACGGUCCUAAGGUAGCGAAAUUCCUUGUCGGGUAAGUUCCGACCUGCACGAAUGGCGUAAUGAUGGCCAGGCUGUCUCCACCCGAGACUCAGUGAAAUUGAACUCGCUGUGAAGAUGCAGUGUACCCGCGGCAAGACGGAAAGACCCCGUGAACCUUUACUAUAGCUUGACACUGAACAUUGAGCCUUGAUGUGUAGGAUAGGUGGGAGGCUUAGAAGUGUGGACGCCAGUCUGCAUGGAGCCGACCUUGAAAUACCACCCUUUAAUGUUUGAUGUUCUAACGUUGACCCGUAAUCCGGGUUGCGGACAGUGUCUGGUGGGUAGUUUGACUGGGGCGGUCUCCUCCUAAAGAGUAACGGAGGAGCACGAAGGUUGGCUAAUCCUGGUCGGACAUCAGGAGGUUAGUGCAAUGGCAUAAGCCAGCUUGACUGCGAGCGUGACGGCGCGAGCAGGUGCGAAAGCAGGUCAUAGUGAUCCGGUGGUUCUGAAUGGAAGGGCCAUCGCUCAACGGAUAAAAGGUACUCCGGGGAUAACAGGCUGAUACCGCCCAAGAGUUCAUAUCGACGGCGGUGUUUGGCACCUCGAUGUCGGCUCAUCACAUCCUGGGGCUGAAGUAGGUCCCAAGGGUAUGGCUGUUCGCCAUUUAAAGUGGUACGCGAGCUGGGUUUAGAACGUCGUGAGACAGUUCGGUCCCUAUCUGCCGUGGGCGCUGGAGAACUGAGGGGGGCUGCUCCUAGUACGAGAGGACCGGAGUGGACGCAUCACUGGUGUUCGGGUUGUCAUGCCAAUGGCACUGCCCGGUAGCUAAAUGCGGAAGAGAUAAGUGCUGAAAGCAUCUAAGCACGAAACUUGCCCCGAGAUGAGUUCUCCCUGACUCCUUGAGAGUCCUGAAGGAACGUUGAAGACGACGACGUUGAUAGGCCGGGUGUGUAAGCGCAGCGAUGCGUUGAGCUAACCGGUACUAAUGAACCGUGAGGCUUAACCUUACAACGCCGAAGCUGUUUUG
rnacentral:rRNA from 1 species